AUGGGCAUAAAUUAUGUGCAGCAACCAAGCCCCAAUUUAUGCCUGAAAACCCAACCCGCCUCAAUAUACGCCUCUAAACCUAGAACACCCGAUCCUCGUACUAGAACAAACGCAAGAAAUCAUUGGAAAAAUCAAAACCAAGAAAUUCAUCCCCAAAUCAAAACAUGGAAAUCUUCAAAUCAUCUCAAGAAUAUUCAAGGGUUUGUAUAUAUAGGCAGCCAUGUGUGAAGGAGUAGGGUAUCGGUGAUUAAUCUGUCAAAGUUAUUCUUACGGUUAUUUAGUAGGUUGAUUCUUCAAUUCAUCUUAUCUCUCAACUCUUCUCUAAUUUUCUGUCAUUUUUCAUUUACGAGUUUCAUCAAAUUUCCAUAUCUAAAUUCUCUAUGACAAAUAAAAAAUUGAGUCUUGUGUCAAUUUGUGAAGCCUGGAGCCAUCAGGGGUUUUGCUGCGUAGAGUGGAAAGGAACCCCAUGUGCAAAGCCUGAAAAUCAAAGGGGUUAACUAUAGCAGUUGCUUCUGGCGAGGGUGGCGUUGGAAAUUCCACUACCGCUGGUAUUUUGUAACAAUUGAUUCUUUGCUUGUUACAUUUUAUUUCACGAUAUAUAAAAGGGACUUGUAUUUUUAUUUAUUAUUUAUUUAUUUAUUUUGGGGGUGCUUUGGAUGAUUAAUUUAUAUAGGUGAAAUGAGGAUAGGAAGUGAUUCUUGUUGGGUUUUAGUUUGUAUUAGAAGUUGAGUUUGUGGUAUAUAUGUUAGUCUGACAUUUAAUAACACUACAAUUGGAUUGCUAAAAUGUGUUAAUAUGUAGUGAAUUUGACGGUUUCACUCGCCAAGAAGUGUCAGCUUAAAUUUGGGCUGCUGGAUGCGGAUGUAUAUGGACCAUCAAUUCCUAUAAUGAUGAAACUACAUGGAAAGCCUGAAGUGAGUGCAGGUGGUUGUUUGAUUGCCUUGAAAUCCUAUGAUCGAUUCCCCCACCCCAUAUUUUCAAUUUUAGACUAUUUGACUAUGUGUAUCAGUCUUAUAAAGCUAUAUGUGUUCAAAGAGGUAACAAUGGAACUAAAACUCGAGAAAUUUGUUGUACAAUUACAUCUCAAGUAAUAUCCACAAGUAUGUAGGAGUAAUUUUGUGUUAACUCAAUAUGCAGCAAAUGAAGUCCAUUGAUUUAGCUAAUCCGUUGGAUCAUGGAUUUAAAUAUUGUGAAUUUUUCUGGGAUACUCGAAACAUAAUUUCCAUCAAUAUUCCUGUUUCAAUUAUCUGCAUAUUUUACCUUUUCACUUUACGUAGUGUGAUUCAGUUUAAUCUCUUUCUUCGUGCAUGCUUAUUUACUCUGCUUCAGAGUGCUAUCUACAUGUGCAUUACGUGUGGCUCGUAAAUUUUGUGAUUUCACCAAUAUAUAGGAUCCUAGGGCGAUAAAAUAGCAGGACGCCAUUUAAUUGCUUUCCUCUAUGUUCGGUAUCUCUUUGGUGUCCCUUCAUGAUAUUUCUUGUUCUAUGGCAUUAUCUUGUCUGCCUUUGCCUAAAAGUCUUGUAGUUCUCGGUAGCGUGCUUUAGGUAUCUAGUCUUGGGUAGAUCUAGGCCCAUUGAUCAGAGUCUGAAUGAGUUGUACUUAACUGGCUAAGCUUAGUUUAUAUUGGCUUUGAGUUAAAUGUAUUCGAAGACCAUUUCUUAUCUACCAUGCAUUUUCAAUGGUUAUACCAAUAUUUUGAAAUUGAAUUGAGCAUUUCUCAUGGAACUUCUUAGCGGAUAAGAAAAUGAUCCCAAUUGAAAAUUAUGGAGUCAAGUGUAUGUCAAUGGGAUCUCUUGUGGCAGAAAGUGAGGCGCUUGUGUGGAGAGGUCCAAUGGUAAGCCUAGCAUUGUUUAUUAAUUUUCUUGCGUUUCAUUAGUUUUUCGCCUAUCAAGAAGUAGAUUUGGAUCAUAUAUAUAUACACACACACACACACACACAUAUAUACAUAUACACAUAUAUAUAUAACAUUCAUUCUUGGCAAUUAGGCAUUUCUUAAGUUGGUUUGUCAUACUAAGUUGUGUCAUAGAAAUGGACAUUAAUAUUUGGAUGAUGAUCACUUGGUGAAUAUUGAGCUACCAACCUGGUCAUAUGAUAAUAUAUAUGUUUUGCACGUGUAACUUUAUUUCAUGGAGUAUUAUUUCGGAGGAAGUACAUUAUUUCGGGUGAGUCCCCUUUUUCUUUUUGACCGGAAGGUGCUGAGCUAUUUCUGGAAAGAUGGCCAUAAUUAGAGAAAAAAGAAAGAUGGAAAGGCAGUGAAGGAGGCUCAUGAAAGGCUCAACAUAUAUGCUGGAUGAUAUUUCUCUGCUUCAUGGACUUCAAUUUUAUUGGUUGAAAUCUGAAAAAUUGCUCUAGCAGUUUGUUAUGAUGCUUUAAUGGUACUCUUGUUUGUUAGGAUUUUUAUUUUUUAACACAAUGAAGUUAUUUGGUUGGUUAUAAUUGAAUAAUUGGAGUGAUGGCAGCAUAAUCAUGGCAGUGACAAAUCAAAGUUCUGGUUCGAGUAAUUAUUAUUUAAUCUAUGUUAUGUCUUAAGGUUGUGAUUUGAAAUGAAAGAAUGUUAAAUGAAAUUAAUUUGUGU
rnacentral:lncRNA from 1 species